CUCAGAGCUUUGAAAUGGAACGAGCUGUACUUUUUUCUUCGUCAAUGAAGAAUUCAUAUUUAUUUACAUAUUUACCUUGGCUGGAACUUUUGGAGAUUCCUGCAUAAUUUAAUGAAAUUUUUCUUAACUAACCAAUGCUGGGAUAAAUAUGCACAGAGUCACAAGUCAGCGAGUAAUCUCCAGCCCUUGACCUUUCCUCCUCCUGCUGAGGUUAGCAUUAAUUCCCAUCAUUACAUUGCUUCGACACCACUGAUUGCACCCAAAGGCCCUGGGAACAUUGGCAGUGUUGUAUGGCAAGAGAGACUCCAAGUCUGAUAGAUUAACAUU
ensembl:lncRNA